rnacentral:lncRNA from 1 species
GGAGCGUUGCUCCCGCUAGGCCACGCGCCCAGACCAGGAUCCAGCCGCAAAGGGUGCUGGAGACAGCGGCGGCGGCCAGGAAGGACCAGAGGACUCGCCAUCCUUAUGAUAGGAGGAACAAGGGGAGGGGCCAGGGACGCCAGCAGCCAGCACGCCGGGAAUACAAUCGCCCGCCUAAGCACAAGUUUGUUAUGGGAUUGGCGGACCUGAUCGCCAUUCCCAAUAUAUCUGCUAGGUUGAAAGCGCCUGAGAAGGUGGGCGACAAGGUGCUGGGACCAAAGCCAGACGCCUGGUGUGAGUUUCACCAGGGCUUUGGCCACACUUUGGACUCGUGUUUGUCCUUAGGGUAUCAGCUCGAUGAUCUGGUUAAGAGCGGGUUCCUAAACGACUAUCUGCUGGAUAGGAGGACGGGGGGAGCGUCGAGUUCCCAGCCAGCAGGUGGAGAAGCCCAGCAACACGAGAUGCCUAUCCACGGGGAAAUCCACACCAUUGCAGGAGGCUUCUCAGGUGGUGGAUGCACCGCAUCGCAGAGGAAGAAGUACGCGCG